rnacentral:rRNA from 1 species
UUCCGGUUGAUCCUGCCGGAGGCUACCGCUAUUGGAGUUCGAUUAAGCCAUGCGAGUCGCGAGUCUUAGGGACUCGGCGUACCGCUCAGUAACACGUGGGUAACCUGCCCUAUGCUGGGGGAUAACCUCGGGAAACUGAGAAUAAUACCCCAUAGUUCACCACGCCUGGAACGGUGGGUGGAUGAAAGCUCCGGCGGCAUAGGAUGGGCCUGCGGCGUAUCAGGUUGUAGGGGGUGUAAUGUACCCUCUAGCCAUCUACGCGUACGGGUGUUGAGAGACAUCGCCCGGAGAUGGAUUCUGAGACACGAAUCCAGACCCUACGGGGUGCAGCAGGCGCGAAAACUUGGCAAUGCGAGCAAUCGUGACCAGGGAACUCCAAGUGCAUCGGGUAAGACCGAUGCUUUUCUUGACUCUUCAAAGGUCUUGGAAUAAGGGGUGGGUAAGGACGGUGCCAGCCGCCGCGGUAAUACCGGCGCCUCAAGUGGUAGUCGCUUUUAUUGGGCCUAAAACGUCCGUAGCCGGUUUGGUACAUUCGUGGGUAAAUCAAGGCGCUCAACGUCUUGAAUUCUGCGAGCACGGCCAGACUUGGGACCGGGUGAGGUGUGGGGUACUCUCAGGGUAGGGGUAAAAUCCUGUCAUCCUGAGAGGACCACCUGUUGCGAAGGCGCCACACUAGAACGGAUCCGACGGUCAGGGACGAAGCCUAGGGGCACGAACCGGAUUAGAUACCCGGGUAGUCCUAGGUGUAAACGCUGUGGACUUGAU